UGCAAUAUAUACGAUAUAAAUAUAUCUCAAUAUCAAGCAACAUAAACAAAACCGAGGAAGCAUGCAACAUGUGUCGCGCAACUUUGAACUCUGAAUGAGAUCAGCGGCUAUUUAAGCCAGGCAAACACACCCACACACACACACACACGCUGGCAAACUCAUAAAAUUUUUUAGUGCCGCUCGCGUAGGAAGUCGCACGUAGACAAAGCCCGAACGUUAGAAUGCGCGUGUGUGUAUUCCAGAUACAAUAAGAAGACGAAGAUACAAUACAACUAAUUGAUUGGUGCAAACAUUGUGCAAAACUGAACCGUUAUAAACUGCAGCUAACCAAA